GACAGAGGCCUCAAGCGUUAGGCGGAAUCACUGGGCUUAAAGCGUGUGUAGGCGGAUCGUUAAGUGUCUUGUGAAAUCCCACGGCUCACCCGUGGAACUGCUGGGCAUACUGGCGAUCUUGGGCCAACUAGGGCAACUGGAACAAGCGGUGGAGCGGUGAAAUGCGUAGAUAUCGCUUGGAACGCCAAAGGUGAAACAGGUUGCUGGGGUGUGCCGACG
rnacentral:rRNA from 1 species